rnacentral:rRNA from 1 species
UACGGAGGAGGCAAGCGUUAUCCGGAAUUAUUGGGCGUAAAGCGUCCGUAGGCGGCCAACUAAGUCGGACGUGAAAUCCCCAGGCUCAACCUGGGAACUGCGUCCGAUACUGGAUGGCUUGAAUCCGGGAGAGGGAUGCAGAAUUCCAGGUGUAGCGGUGAAAUGCGUAGAUAUCUGGAGGAAUACCGGUGGCGAAAGCGGCAUCCUGGACCGGCAUUGACGCUGAGGAGCGAAAGCCAGGGGAGCAAAGC